rnacentral:rRNA from 1 species
CCUACGGGUGGCGGCAGUGGGGAAUAUUGGGCAAUGGGCGCAAGCCUGACCCAGCAACGCCGCGUGAAGGAAGAAGGCUUUCGGGGUGGAAACUUCUUUUGACAGGGAAGAGGAGAAGACGGUACAUGACGAAUAAGCCAUGGCUAACGACGUGCCAGCAGCCGCGGUAAUACGGAGGUGGCAAGCGUUGUGCGGAUUUACUGGGUGUAAAGGGCGUUUAGGGGGGUUGUGAAGUCAGAUGUGAAAUGCUGCGGCUUAACCGCAGAACUGCCUUGGAAACUGUUGAUCUUGAGUACUGGAGAGGCAGGUGGACUUCCUUGUGUAGCGGUGCAAUGCGUAGAUAUUACGAGGAACACCAGUGGCGAAGGCGGUCUGCUGGACUGCACCUGACGGUGAGGCGCGAAAGCGUGGGGAUCAAACAGGAUUAGAUACCCUGGUAGUC